rfam:Rhodospirillales bacterium 70-18 SCNpilot_cont_750_bf_scaffold_80, whole genome shotgun sequence.
GUGGAGCUGCUGGGUGCGUCAGGUACUAUAUCCCCAGGGCCAAUAAGCACUCCCAGGGAACUGGCGCUGUCGUGAUCUUGGUCACGGUAUCUGGUGCCCACCUGCUCACGCAGGCCUUGGGAGGAUAUGACACCAACGGCUAUGGCGGCUCCACA